rnacentral:lncRNA from 1 species
AUGGAGGUUCCUACUUGUGCUACUGGAACCUGUUGACAGGAAGAAGUUGAUGCUGUAUAAGAGCACACCCAGAGCUAAAGGCGCAGGAAAGUGAGCAGGUAGUACUGAAGUGUUACAGAAGCUUUAAGCAGCUACUCUGGUUAUGAAUGUCAGUUCCCUGGGAGAGGGGGAGAGACUAGAGUUAGAGCAAUAACUUAGUAUGAGAUGCACAUCAGUUUAGAGAACAGCCUGUGCUGUUGCUUGUAUAAAUAGAGAUUAGUGUAAACUUUAGAACAGCUGGUUCACAUUAGACCUUGUGAAUUAAAGUAGCUGCUAAAGUAAAGUCAGUGGUAUAAUGUAAUGCUGGGACAAGGAGAAUCAACAGUUAAGAGCAAAAGGGGAGGAACCUAAACCAACAGCAAAUUAUACAACAGCUGCUGUGCACCACCCCAUUCUUAUCACAAGCACACUGCUUGAGCAGACAAGUCUGCAAUCAGUGCACUCCACCAUGGCAAAACACAUACUUGGGCUGUGUGUCUGGGCUUUGUCUCUGGCUGUUGCAGCUGCUGCUCCUCCGCAGGACAGAGAGGUCCAGAACAGCGAUGACCCUCCCUUUUGCAGAUGGUGCGGUGUGCUGCUAGAUGUACAGCAACAUCAACUCACUGUCAAGCCUCAAGUGCAACAGGUGUUGGACAGCCGCCCCGAUAACCGGCCCUCCGACGCCAAGGCGAGGCUGCUCGAUUUCUCGUGACCGCUGUCCUUUGCCGGCACGUACCUGCACGCAGCUCUAAUCCUUGAAAAAUUGUGCUCUACAAGGUGCAAUAAA